GAAAGGUGAGGAGAGUUGGAGCAGGCAGGGCUGUCGGAGCCCUUCUGCCUGUCCCGGCUCACACUGCAUGGCUGUGCUGCACGGUUGGUGGUUCCCUUCUGCUCUGCUUUACCAGCACACAUUGAUCUAGUCACCGUUGGAGAGAUGUGACACACCAGAGCAGCAGCAUCACCAGCACUUGCUGUGCUGGAGCCUCAGAUCCCUCCCUGAGGUGCAGGGCAGCCAGAAUGGGGAGCUCAUCCGCUGUGCUCACAGCUGCUGAAGGGAGUUCUCAAGGGGGAAGGGGAGCUGGUGUGAGAUCAGCCGCGGUUUGCACACUUUCAGUUUCCCUGCUACCAAACAGAGGGCUGUGUGUGAAUGCUAACGAGCAGGGGAACUCCCAGGGUCAACAGCUGGCCUUAGUGCUCCAGGCUUUCUGGGCCGAAGGAUGUAUAAGCAAUGAAAGGAACUGGCAACCCUGUCACCGCUGCCCGUGCACAGCCCUGCCUGUCACGCCCCCGCCACCACCGUCACUAUAAAUGCAGCCGCACCCACGCUCCAGGCUCCCUCUCACAUCCCCGCUCACAGCCAGCUUGGCUUCUGCCUGCACAAACAUUUUCAUUCCUGUAAUUCCUCAAGCAGUUCACUGCCGGUGCUUGUGUCCCCAGCUCACGGGACGGAGUGAUGGGAGCCCUUGGGCUGUUGUUGAAGGAGCUUGUUGCUGCAUCCCCGGUCUUGGUAGCUUCCUUUUGGGCUGGGUACCCAAAAUAGCAAGGACCCAAGUGGCACAGAGAGGCUGUGGCUGGUGGCCCCAGCUGUUCCCAGGCUGGUGUUUGACCUCAGCCAUUCCACAUUUCCUUUCUGCUGCACUUGGCCCAACCGGCACAAGGAAAAUGUGAUUAUUGGAGCAGGCAGUGUAAUAACCAAGGAAACCAAACAAACAUCCUGUGCUCUGCCUGAGCAGAACCCAAACCCUCUGCUCCUCCAGGCUGGGGAGGAGGGAACAGAGGGAGCAGCAUUCCCACCCUGUCUGGCAGGAACAGGGGCAAGGACAGCAGAGGAGCUGGCUGCCAGCAGCACGGAGCAGCACAGGAACCACACUGGAGAAAGGUGCUGAGCCUGGUGAGAUGUCAUGGAGAUCAAUGUCACAUCUUCCUGAGAGCUCUUCCAGGGCUUCUCUGCAUCCUGUUUCUGGGCAUCCUUCAGUGAAACCCCAUCAUCUGCAGGUGCUGCUCCUGCGGGCUGGGCUGUGCUGGCAGCACCACGUGGGGAUGCACCGUGACUCAGGGCGACUCACCACGAACUCUUGAAGAGGCUCUGGUCCUCUUCUGGCUGCUCAGCGUCUUCCUGCAAUGCCUGGGGCAGCAGUCCAGGCUGCCUGAAGGGCUCUUUGCCUUGGUAUAUCUGACCAAAGCACUGGUGCCUGCUCUGGUGCAGAGCCUCAGUGCAGGGCCCAGGAUGGUGGUGCCAGUGAACCUUUCCUCCUGGGAAAGCCAACUCACAGGUGGCUGCAGCCUGGUGCUGCCGGGGUACAGCAAAAACCUCCAGCCUCCCUGUGCCAUCUGCAGAACAGAGUGAGGCCAGGGACAAGGAGGGGGUGAUCAAGGCACUGAUUAUGGAGCUGUCUCCCUUCAGCAGCUGGCUGUCCCAGGCAGAGCUGUGCUCCCCGGCCCAGCUGUGCUGAAUCCAUGGCAAACUGCCGCGGUUCACCACACCGAGGAGAGCCCAUCGGGCUCCAGCUGUGCAGAGGCUGGGCUGGCUCCAGGAUUCAGGGUGACAGACCAGCUCUCCACGGGACGUCCCGCCAAAGGGACCUCAGUGUGGAGGUAAGGACCAGUGUCCAAAUCCUUCUGCAGUGCAAAUACAAAAUAAACCAGAGUGCUCUUGGGUGCUGUCCCGAGCGCCAUGAAUGCGGCUGAGCUGGGCUGCUCAUGCUCUCCCGGCACGUGACCGAUACUCGGAGUAAGUGUGCUUGGGGAGAGUGAUGACGGCUGCUGGUGGCAGCAUUCCUGUGGGCGCCACGGUUUCUCUUGAGGGAGAAAUUAGCAGGACCUGUUUAUGAACUUGUUUUCGAGCUCUGGUCGGGGAGUUGGGCACGAGCACUGAGAUCCCAUUAUGUAAGGAACGCCGGCAGCGGGAGACAGCAGCUGGGGCUGUGCUUGGCCCUGCCUGACCCGUGACCGCGGUGAGAGUCGGGGAUGGAGCCUUCCCCCCUCGCACGGCUCUUCCGGGCCCAGGGCGAGCGAACAGCCCUGCCAGUGUGGCUGCCCCUCGGCAACCCUCGCCGGGGAAAUAAAGGAGCGCGGCGUUCCCUGCCGCGGCCCUUCCAUGUGACGGCCGGUCACACUCCGCGGCUGCCAGGCGCGGGGAUUGUCUCAUCCCGCUGGCAUGUUCCCACCGCGGGACACGUUAGCACACACAAUGCGGCCCCUGUGCACCGUGGGGGAUCUGUCGGUACCUGCUGGUGGCCUGGCUUUUAUUACUAUUGUCAUGGUUAUUACUCCAGCCCGCUGAGCCGAGGGGCGGGAGGCUGAUCAGCAUUCAGAGCCAGGCUCUGCCCCGCUGCCUGAACCGCCCAGCGCGGCUGCGGCGGCUCCGAGCGCCCCGCUGCCUUCAGAUCCUUCCGGCUCUCACGGCUUGUUCGCCAGCGCUGCUUGGACACGAACCGGGGCCAAACGCUGCUGCAGAGUUUGGGCGGGCAGGACAGGGCAGGAUUCCCCGCAGGGAUUUCCUCUCACCUGCUGCUAGGCAGAUGCCGCAGGGUGGGCUGAGGGCGAGGACGAUGGCCCCGGUGGUCCCUCUGCCCUGACAGGGCACACCAAAGAGCCACCACCCCUCGCGUUGUGUGGGCUCGUGGCCACGCUGUGGUGGGGAAAGGCGUGGGAGGGUUGGGAGGCAAAACUCUGUCAGCUCUCCCAUCCACACCUUUGCCAAAGCAGGCUUGGGAGAGGAGCAACCCCUGGAUGCAGUUUGGAUGGAGCAGGGGUCAGACAGAGCUGGAGGGUGCUGAGAGUAGCAGCUCAGGAUGUACUCGGACCCAGCUGCCUUUCUGCUGGGAGGGAAUGUGCUUUUCAACCCUUACAGCCAUCGGGAUCAUGGCACACCCCUCUGUGCCGGUAAAUAGGAGGGGUGUGUUUGGGUUGGGAGAAGGAUUGUUACUGAAGGCACAAGGCCAAGAAAGGAUAGGAAUGGCCUUUUCUCGAGGCCACAGCUCUGCAAUAUCUUGCAGAGAUUUCGAGGGAUUUAAAGAAGGUCCUGAAAAAUAAUACGGGCUGUGGAAAGGAGCAGCAGGUGCUAGCAGGGUGAGCAGAGUUUAAGUGGAGGUUGCUCCAAGCAUGGGUCAGUUCUCUGAUGAAUGAAAGGGUUGGAGUAAGCUGCUUUUGCCCUUCUCCCUGAGCCUUUCUGGAGCCCAAACCCCUGGCUCUGCUCCUCCAGAGAAGUCCAGUAUGCCCCACUGCUUCCAACUUGCCAGAAUGCACCUUCCUCCCCCAAAAACAGGUCUGCUAGGAGACGGGUGGGGGGCAGUGCAGCUCCUCAGCUGCCUCGGCAUCUUCUGGGAGGCUGUGCAGAGAUGGCAAGCUGCAUCCCUGUCACCCUGCCCCAGCAUAACCCCUGCAGAACAAGGAUAACUCCCAAGGGCUUUCAGCUCCUUCAGCCUUGGGAGAAGCGGCUGGCGAGGAGAGCUGGGAAUGCCCAGAGAAUCACACAGGGUCAGGCCACGCAGAGAUGGGAUGCUCAGACACCGGCUGCCUGAGUGUUAAUGCCCUGCACAGUUCUCCAUCGGCACAUCUGACCUCGUGUUGCAGCACAGCAAAAAAUAACCGUAGUCCCGAUGAGAGGAAAUGCACCGGGCGAGUGAGAGGGAGGCAGUGGUUUUGGCAGGGCUGCCUGCUGGGAAAAGCAGGAGGGGGGACUGGAGAGAAAGGACACAGCACCUCGUAACCCCUGUGUGUGCCGUGGUUUCAUCGCCUGCACUCCUCCGAGCGAUCUCCAAAUCCCCUGCGUCUCAGCACUAAAAAUAUCCUUCCCUGCCGCCCGGAGCUCUUCCCCGGCAGAGGCUGUGUCAUAAGACCCUGCUAUUUGCGGGGCCCUGCUUCCUUUCAUGCGAGGAGAAGCAUGAGAACGGAGCAGCGCGGUGCCCGAGGCACGGCAGGCACAACCCGGGCACGGUGCCUGGCAGGCUGCUCCUCUACAAGCCCCGCUGCUCCGGCUGCCGCUCGCCCCGCCGCUCGCCACUGAGUUUGCUCUGCCCAGCAUCCUCAGCCCUGCGGGCACGGGGGGAUCCGCUCCUUCCGGCAGCCACGGCGCUCCGAGGGCUGCCGAUGCCGCUCCAAAACAAACCCGCGACCCAACAGGUUUCCUAGCUCUGCCACUUGCCAAGCAGGUGUCCCUCAAAUCCCCCCGCUCCCCGAGCAUCCCCGUCCCAGGCACGGAGCUCCGCGGGCAGCCCCGGGGCCGGCAGCAGCUCACGCAUUCCCGCGGGAGAGAGGACAGCACCAUGUAUUGAUGGGCCCUCCCCAUCUCACUCCUGGCCUCGUGAGACCCUUAUCCCCGGCAGACCCCACUCUGGGUGCUUUCUCCCACGUUCAGCCCUGCACAUCGGGGCUGCUCCUUGGCAGGGCCAAGGACUUGGCCGCCGCCUCCUUCCUGUGUCUCAGCAGGGUGAGUCAGUGCCUCGCCGUGCCCAGCGCCAGCUCUGCCCGGAGCCUGGUCAGUGCCAAGCCGGAGUGGGGGACAUCCACUGUGACUUUUGCUGUGACUGGAAGGGAGUUUCCAGUGUCUGUGGCGUGUCCCGCCUGUCCCGUUCUCAGUGUGUUCCUCUCGCUGUCUGCAUAACAAAAGAUAACUGGCAAAGCGUGCCUGCCCCGGGCCAAAAGAUGAGAGGGACAGAAGUGACGCUGGACUCAGUGGAGAGUCUCCACUUCUGGGCACCUGGCCGGGCUGCUGGCAGCGGGACCCGCCUGCGCCGACGCUUACCGCGGCCUCUCGGACUGCGUCCUCAAGCUGGGGGACAGCAUGGCCACGUACGAGGAGGAGGAGGGCAUCGAGCUGCAGGGGCUGCGCCGGGUCUGCAGGAGUUUGUAUCCCUGGUCCUUGGCAGCAGCUGCAGCCCCCAGCACUGGUCCCAUCAGUCCCUGCAUGCCUGCAGCCAGGAGGAGCAGGGCUGGAGGGACCCGACCCGCUCUGCACCCCCGGAAAAUCUCCCCUGGACCCCAGGUUUCAGGCAGUGCUCUGCCCCGGUGCCCAGCGCUGCCGGGAGCAGCCUGCACCGGCCACCACGUGCAGCCCAAAAAAAGCUUUCUCCCUCCCUGCCUAAACCCUUCAUCCUUCAGGCUUGGAUUUGUCCCAGCCCUGGUUUGCCCGAGUUUGUAGCGGUGCCCUGAGAUAUUGGGAGGAUGUUAACUUUAACAGAACUGAAGAAGAGCUGGGCAGUGAGGGGUGGUGUUGGGCAGGUUUGGGGAAAAGUUCGAUUAAAAAGCAGAUGAGGAGAAGCAGCAAGGCGGAUGUAAAAUGUUCACAGAGAUAAAUGGAGGCAGCUUUGCAUCUUCAGAGCGAGCUGUGGGGAGUAAACAGGAGUUACCAGGAAAUGCAGGUAGCAAUGAAGGGAAAACCCACGUGCCUGGGGGCGGUGGAAACCUGGCAGAGCAAGGUGGAGGGCUGAGUGCCCUGGGGUCGUGCUUUCUGAGCUGCGGGAAACCACCCUGCAGGCUGUGACCUGCUCUGUAUUCCCCCUUCUCCAGGAGACAGCCUGGAUCGGGAUGAAGAGCCUCUCUGGGGCCUGCCUGUGUGGGUUCCAAUGGGAACUGCUCUGGUUUGGAUAGAAUCGAUACUUUUUGGUUUGCUUGGCGUUUUAUUAAAAGAGGCUUCUUGGUAUUAGAAAACACCGAAGCAGUCAGCCCAGCCCAGCCCAUGCUGCUGCUGGCUGCUGGAAGAGCGAUUCCUUUGCUGAAGCUCAUGUGAAACAUGUGAGCUGAGUUUUUCCUGCAGCUCAGAGGCACAGACCAUCCCCAAACAGGUCCUGGGAUCUUCCCUGGCAGGAAGCUGAUGAUGUCCCAGCUUCCUGCCAGGAAAUAUUUCUGAAUUAUUUACCUUUGAUGCUCAGCCUUAUCCAUGGCUGUUUGAAAACAUUUCUGGAGCUGGUCCCCUCUCCAGGAGGGUGGGUGAGGGAUGGACAGGGAGCCAGGAGCUGUUUGGGGGGCUGGUGGUGUCUCAGCUCAUGUGCAGUGCUGCCCCAGAGCCGGCCUGGCAAGGCACUUGCCAGCAGCCUGCCUGCCUGAGCAGAUGGGGGCUGUGAAGGGUGAAAGGCUGGGAAUUGCCCUCCCAGCUGAAAGCAGAUCCAGGCCAGAGCUGCUGUUCCCCUUCACCUUCCUGAGCUUGUGUUGCCUGAAGACAUGGGUCAGGUUUAACUCUUACCUGUCAGAGCUGCCUGCUACUGCGGCAGGUCGGGAGCGAGUGCUGGAGGUUGCCAGGGUUGGCACCAGCUUUUCUCAUUAUCUGGGGACGUUUAUUCUGCCACAGUGACUCUGUUUAAUGAACUCCCUCACAGCUGGCGUUCUGACGUAAGCCCCGGGUCUAAGCAAGCAGAGUGCUCAGGUUUGUCUGUCUGCACAAAGUGUCAUCUCCAGCACAGUGCACUCAGACAGCACCAUGCUGUCCUUUACAGGUGCACAGUGUCCCCUCUCAGCCAGCUGGACUGCAUCCCCUUCCUGACAGGUGACAUGUGUGCCCGGUGUGUUGGCAGAGACAGAGAAGGUGUCAGAGCAAUUGCUCCUGUCCUCUAGACUCUUGUCUCCCUCUUGCAGGGAGCUGGGCGUGGUGCCCAGCCCAGCCCAUGUGGGACAGGACAGCAGAGCAGCUCCUGCUUUAUUCCUGCAGGACCAUGGGUUAUCUUUGCCUGUUUUAUCUUUUCCCUCUGGUAGUCUCCAAAACCCUCUUUCCACUCAACAGCUUCUACUUGUGAAAGUAAUACCCAGCAGAUAAAUGGAGUUUAUUCUAAUGAGAACACAGUGAAUAACUCCUCCUGCCCCUGCCCGUACCUCAGGAAAAGCUGAGACAGCCUGUGGGAGCUCUUGUCCUUCUCCAUGCUUUGUGCUCCCAUGUGCCCUUGACUCUGCUUGGAGAAAGUGAUGAAUGAGAUGUGCUGGGCCUUUGUUUGCAGCCUGUGUGAGAUACUCAGGGAAACAUUUGCUGAUGGCAAAUAAUGGAUUUUAUUGACUUCCAGAGAAAAGGGGGAGGGGGGGAGAGGAAUAAAUAAUUUCAGUGUUUUGAGAUUUGGAAGUUUAGCCAAGAUGCUCUGGCAGAUGAUGGAGGGGAUGAAUAGUCUGGGAAACUUGCACAAAACACGAGGCUGUUGCUGCUCAGGGGGCAGGCUCAGGGCAGCAAGGCUCUCCCUGGCAUCCCACACUGUGGGAGUGCAAAGGGACUGACAGUGUGGUGUCUCCCUGGCUGCAGGUAUUGGGAUGAAUUCCACACCUGUGCCCUGACAGUGCUCUGGGACUGCCAGAAGGAAGCAGCAGCUGUCUGGGAGAUGCUGAGAAGGGAGUCCCGAAAAAACAAAUUUCAAGGCAGUUUGUUUGACCUCUGCAGCCCCAGC